rnacentral:tRNA from 1 species
GUUUUUGUAGUUGAAUACAACGGUGGUUUUUCGUGUCACAAGUCUUGGUUUAAGUCCGAGUAAAAAUA